rnacentral:rRNA from 1 species
AUGCUGGAGAUAGCAUCAGGCAUUGCACGAGGAAUCGAAUACCUGCAUCAAGGAUGCAAUCAGCGGAUCCUCCAUUUCGACAUCAAGCCUCACAACAUCUUGCUAGGUUACAGCUUCAAUCCAAAGAUUUCCGAUUUUGGGCUUGCAAAGCUAUGUACAAGGGAUCAUAGCAUCGUCACACUGACUGCAGCGAGAGGAACAAUGGGUUACAUCGCGCCAGAACUAUAUUAUCGGAACUUUGGGAGAAUAUCCAGCAAGUCCGAUGUUUAUAGCUUUGGCAUGCUGGUGUUGGAAAUGGUGAGCGGUAGGAGGAACUCGGGCCCAUGGAUUGAGAACCAAAACGAGGUUUACAUCCCAGAGUGGAUACAUGAGAAAAUAAGCACGGAGCAAGAGCUGGAAUCAUCAAGGGAAAUGGCGCAAGAAGAGAAGGAUGCCGUAAGAAAGCUGGCCAUUGUGGCACUGUGGUGCAUUCAGUGGAACCCAAAAAACCGCCCAUCCAUGCCGAAAGUGUUGAACAUGUUAACAGGAACCUUGCAGAGUUUAACCAUGCCCCCAAAGCCAUUUGUUUCGUCUCCGGGCCACCCCAUGCCGCAAAUCAGCUAG